ACUGCAGUAUCACUAAUAUUUUAGCUUAUUUAGUUUGAUACUGAAAAUCAUUUUUUAGUGACUUCUGAUAAUCAGAGCGUAAAGGCUGACUGAAGCCUGAACUGUUCAAGGGUCGGAAGAGAUGUUUCAACCUUGAAAAAAAAACAUUUUCUACUAAAAAAAAGGAACUCCAGAGGAACACUUCAGCUCUGGCCUCCUCUCUGUAUUUGUCAGUUCAACAUUUAUUGUGUUUGUUCUCAGAACGCAGAGAAACAUGGCUGGUUUUCAGAGUCCUCAAAGUAAAACGUUUUCAUUUUCAUUUAAGCUGAACUGUUUUUUUUUAAAGGCAGCGUUAUAAGUAAAAUAUUGAAAGCUUUUGAGAUGUUUGUGUUUUUCACCAUUCCAAAUAUCUGUUUUAAUUGAAGUGAGACCCAGCAGGAGCCGGUUGUGGGAGCAGAUAAUUGCUAUGCCUGUUUUGUGUGUGUGUGUGGGGGGGGAUCAGCCACAGAUCUGUGUGGAGCUGGGCUGGGGGGGUUCAUGAGUGGAAACACUCCCGACUUUCAGGCGGGAAUCAUCCGGCUCCUUCUGUCAGAGUAAUGAAGUGCUGGCAGCUGUCCGUGGUGCUGAAAUCAGGCCCAGCUCUGAAUGGGGGAAUGAAAGCCGACUGAUGCUGCAAACGUCUCUCAGCAGAACCAAGUGUCAGGUGUGUUCAUCUGCUGCUUGGGGAAAAGUGAAGCCUCAUCAUGUCACGCCGCCUCUGAAAGAAUGAUGUAGCUCUGGAUUUGGACAGGCAGCAACAGCAGAGGUGCUCGCACAUGCAGAAUGGAGGAGGGGACUUCUCUGCUAAAGGAGGACAUGAUAAAGAACAGUCCUCCACAUGAGAAGCAUCUGUCAAAUCAUCUUUCUUUGAAGUUCCUUUUGUCUUUUUUCUCUUUGUUGAUAUUUCACGUGCAGGGAGGAUCUGAUCCCUUAAUGGUUUCUUUGAUCUGUUCGUCUGAACGCAGGAGCUGCUGGAUCUCAUCAUCUGCAGCUCAUGACUUCAGGAAAAACGCCUGACUUCACCUGUUAGGGGUCGAUGAUCGGAACAGGAAAUGGAAAGCCGGGCCUUGGCUGAAGAGAAACAGAUUAUCUGGAGCACUUCAUCCGCCUCAGCCUCUUGUGAGCUGAUAGGAAUUCGGCGCAUGUGUAUGAUGGGCUGGAUAGAGCCGGCCUCUCCCUUCAUCCCCGCUGAGAGAUAAGCACUGUUUGCAUAGCAGAGCAUAUUUCAUGCUUGGCUUCCCCCCACCUGUUCCCAGACCUGCAGAGUCUGAAGGCUGGAGCCGCCGUCAGACGAUCUCCCGCCUCUGGAGAACCACUGCAGAGGUUUAUCCUCCUCAGCCAAGCCCAGAAGAAAAAUAAAAGCUAACUUUCCAAGGAUUUCAGAGGCUGCUGUUCUGGAGAUUUUGAUAUUUUUUAAUGAACUUCUGUUUUUUCACAUACUCUUUAAAUGCUUGUGUAAAUAUUAUUAAAUAUCUGAAACAUUUUUCCAUUACUUAAGGAUUUAGGCAAGGGAUUACGCAACACCCUCAAGUAAAACUACAAUAUUUAUCCUUGUGGGAUCCGUAGCUCAUACUACAUAAAUGUGGUUGUGCAACCGCUUGAUGCAAGGCUUUCAGGUAAAUCUACAGAUGGUUUUUUUUUCGGUGUUGGUUUGUCGCCUGCAGAUUGGAGCAGGAGGGCGUGCCACAAGGUCAAGCUAUUAAUCAAACAGGGCCGCCUCAUUUGCAUAGUGAACUUCUGCAGAAUUGGUCCUGAAGCCCAGAAGAGCCUCACAUCCAUCUUCCUCCUGCAAUCACGUGCCCACUCAGUCACUGCAUGAGGUCUAUGGGUGAGGAGGACAGAGGAGCUUCAGCUGAUGUUCUUAGAUCAAACAUUUACUGUCUUUUCUUUCCAUCAGAGGACACGUCUGUCAACAUCACAUCUUCACAAAACACCAACACUCCUGCAGAUGAAGAUCUGACUUCUGCAGCAUUAGAAAACUUCAAACUGCUUUUGAUUUGGAGCAAAUCCAAAAUCUUCCCAAGACAAACAGUCCAGAAGAAGUUUUUGAGUUAAGAGGAGAAAUCAGACAAAAGCAAGGACAGAAACAAACUCUUUCAAAGUUUCGCAAAAUCCUUGCGGGUGAAAAUCAAAAGUGUCGCACUUCAGCAGCAGAGAAACCUCCAAAACCAAACCAGAAAAAAGACCAGCAGAAGAUUCAGAUCACAACCGGGAACGUGGAGGAGACGCAGCCUCAGCAAAAGAGGGGAAACGGCGCGCGGCGCAGAGAGCCAGGAGGCGCGUGGAGGAGCAGCCGCGCUCCGCAUCCGCAUGCAGAAAACCCGCACACGCGGGGGAGGCACCGCGUGAAGGAGUGCAGAGGAGCAGCUUUUUUCGGUUUGGAUCGGAAGACCUUCAGGAGAACCAGAGUUCUGUUCACCUGAGGAAGCAGGAGUCUGUGAGGAGCACGUCACGUGACUUUCUCCUCAUGGUGCAUUUAAAAAAAGGGACGCACAUGAUCUAAAUUAACAAAACAGGAUUGUUUUUUCAGUACUAAGAUAAGACCAUCAUUUUGCAAACUUUAAAAUACAGACCAAAACAUUUUAAAUUUGAUAAUGACUUUUUUCAAAUACAGAUCUUUGUUUUUACUAAAUAAACCCAAUAUUUAUGCAAAGUAUCUUGUUAUUUUAUUCUCCUUGAAUCCCAAACUUCCUCUGAAAUUCUGCAGAACAUUGAAGACUCUGCUAUCAGUCAUUUUACGUCUUCUGGCUCCAUUUUCAAAGUUUUCCUCAUAACGUAAACCUCAGAUUGACUAACAAACACGUGACCCUAAGCUGUGUGAAUGAAGGUUCUCAUGACUUCAAAUCUUCUCUUUUCAAGCGUUUCACUGCUCAUCCAAACAGCUUCAUCAACCUGAGAGGUUCUGGGUUCGAGUCCCACAGAUCCUCCAGGAGGGGACUGCUUUAUUUGAAAAGAACCAUUUGGUUGCUGGAAUGUGGGGACCCACCUGGAGGAAAUAUUGGCUGACUUGAACACCUCAGUGAGACCUUGGAUGUUUCUAGAGAGAAGUUGCCAAAGGAAGAAAAAAAACACAAAGUGAAACUUUUGUUUAUUUGUCUGACAAGUUUUGUUUUCUCGCAUAUUGUAGGAUAAACCAGAAAAAAUUGUCAUGGUGCCACUGUCAGCUCUCCUCCCCCUCCCCUCUCUGCUCUGUUCCUGACUCCCCCAGCUGUGAGCACUCACCUCAUCAACCUUCAAAAGGAGAUCCAGCGCCAGCAUUCAUCGCCAGUUCGUUGCCCCUCAUGGACACUCUAACCACGAGUGGUCGCCUGAGUAUCCAGUCCUGUGGAACAGAAGCUCCUCACGGAAUUCUGAGGACUCCUCUGCCAAGCCUCAAACCAGAAUCGAAGUCCAAUCGAGCCACGAGCCAUUGCUACCUCCAGCCACGAACCACAAACCACGAUCCAGUCGCCAGUUUUGACAAAACUACAAAACUGCUGACAAGAGAAAUAAAUCUUUACUCACCUUCUUA